GUCCGGCUGUGCGAGCACCCCUAAUCCAUGACUCUCUCGCCCACGCCCCCACCCCAUUCGCAACACACAUCCGAGUAGUCCUCCUAGCCGCCGUCGUUUCAAACCCGGGAGGAAACCCUAGCCCCACACGCCAGCGCGGCCGCGAACCCCGGCCGAUCGGCGCCGAUGAGAGGCGGGAGGCGUGGGACGGGGAGAGUGCGGCGGGGAGGCGGCGCCGCCGCCGCCGCUCGGCCGCCGCGGGGCGAGCGCGCCGCCGGCGUCCAGGUCAUCGUACUCAGCGACGAUGAUGUGAAGUCAGCAACGCAGCAACCCACCGAAAGGAGAAAUUGCGGAGGAAUGCGCGGCAGAUGAUUUCAACGCGCUCCCAUGUGAUUCCACCAAGGAAGUUUCCACAAAGAACCUGGGACGUCUUAGAAAGCGAACAGCUGCUGGCGGUGCUGCAACUUCUGAGUUGCAUGAGGAUGAGCUAAAGGUUGCUGAUGUCAAGCUGAGCAAUGAUGAAGGUAUGUGUGUUGGGAGGAACACUGAUAUCUCUCCGAGUUUUUGUGUUGCUUAUUUUGUUAAUGGUCACCAGUGUGUGGCACAAGGAGACGGAAUGUUCCAUCCUCCCAUCCUUCUAAGCAUGCAGAAGUGGCACACGGAGAUGGAAUGUUCCAUCCUCCCAGCAUCAUGGUGUUGCAGUGGCGUGUGUUUGUACCGGGUGCUUGAUGAUCGGUGCUUUAUAUAUAAAGUGUGGCGAAAGCCUUUUUCGGUAAAUUAGAGUAAUUUAUGUCUUCUUUACCAUAUUCAGGACAGAGAGAACACCAAGAGUUAAGUUUAUGCAAUUAAUUUGUUCGUUGAGGUGUUGGAUUGGGAGUUUUAAGUAAGUUAUAAAAGAGACACGUGAGGUGGAGAUACUAUACCUAACAUGAGAUAUUUCUCAACAAGUAAUUUUAUUUCUUAAUGUCUAAGCUUCAUUACUUCGUAUUUUUUAUCCGUCGCCGCUUUGGCGACGACGUCCCCGCCGCUGGGCAGGAAGAGUGUUUCCACGCCUUCAACCUCCAUGUCCACGAUGUCGUACUCGAUGCCCACCUGCAAGCUACAUGUCUUGGAGGGAAGUUGCGACUUGAGGGAGUGAGCUCCCAUUCUCUCAAUUUCUUGGCGUGGCCAUGCUUGCAGUACUGAUAAGACAUGCUUCAAAAAUGGAGGAGGGAGGACGUGAGCUGCUACCUUGGUUCCUGUCCGCACCAGCUGCCACAAUUGGGCAUCAAAGUAGACGACAAAGGAUGACAACCGAUUAAGUUCUGCACCUUAAUCCACUUACAACUUAUAAGUUGAUUGAUACUUUUCAUUUUAUAUUGAUGUGCUUCCAACGAGAACAAUUUUUUCACCGGAUGUGUUUCAUUACAUAUGCCAUUUUAUUUGUGUGAAGUCUUUCAGACUUUCUUUUGAUUCUUUAUUUUAACGGCCUGAAAAAGGAUUAUAAGUAAUGUUGGGUUCCCGACAGGACAAGGUAGGAAGAGAAGCAAAUCAUAACCUUUAGGUUCAUGGUCUAGGAGCAGGAAAGUACACGUCCAUCUUUGUGGUAUUCUCAUAUGAAUAAGCAUAAUACUACGUACAGAAUCUCUCAAUUGUGUAGACAGGUCAUCAAGUAAUGGUUAGUAAUUCAUAAUUCUGCUUCACCUUUAUGUUAAUGAUCCGCUUUUAAGUGUGUUGCCAAAGUGAGCAUCAAAUUGCAGGAAUCUCAAUCUUUUUUCUAUAUUUCUCGCAAGGCUCUUGUACGGUAGAUAUUUUUGCUUGGUCAUAAAUGAAUUAGUCCCAUGCUCUGACAGUAAGAUAAUGGAGCUAGGUGGACGAACAUUGGCAUUGAUGCCAAGAUUAUCUGACAUCUUGCUGUAGUAGUGUCUUAACUGGAUAUGUUUAUAGUUCUAAAAUCAAUGUUCAUCAGCAUCCAGCCUUCUAACUAAAAAGUAUUUUCGCAAGGGCUUGUCUGCACCGGUACGCUCUCUCGCUGGUACGCGAUUUGAGGCAUAGGAGCGAGGGGCACGUUGCAAGGUCGUCUUCGGUCACGGCUACAACUUAUGACGAGAAGGGGAUAUAUGCUUAGUAGGCUGCCCUGUGGUUAGCAAGUCAUUGUCGCAGUCUCCGCCUCCCAGGUUGCCUCGGCUUGCUGUUGGUGUGUGUUGCUGCAACAGCCCCUUCCGGCCACCUCUGAGGUUGGGCAAUGUGGCCACUGAUGUCAAGGGCGUCGCCAUCUUACUUGCAAGGCACAAAUUGCACCGCACGCAACAUCUUGCUAUGCAUGGCCACUGAUGCCAAAGAGAACCAAGUGCCUUGACGUACUAUAUAAAGAGAUCAUGUGAAAACAAAGCUGAAGUUCUUGAUCAGGAUGAGAAGGAAAGUGGUCUUCGAGCAACACUAAUCCUGGGUCAUACAUUUGGUCACAUAAUAUCUUCGAGCAUUGUUGUUUUUAUGUUGAGUUUAUCUGUCUUGCAUUACGAUGGUCCAUGUAAACAUAUUUGGAUGAAUUGACAGCCCAGUAAGAAGUUUGCUUUAUUUU